UGAGGUUUUUCAGCACUAUGGGCAAUAACACUUUGAUCACCAUUCCUAACUACAGCCAUGUUUGUUGAAAUUUAAAAGUUAGGUGGUAUGACCUAAAUUAAAAAGAAAACAUUGUAUGUGAGAAGCUCCUGAGUUGAAAGCAAAUGGCUUAUUAGUAUCCUUUACAAUUGCAAAAUAGUCUAAAAGCUUCAAUGCUGAUAAUGAAUUGAUGAUAAUACACUUCAGCAUGUGCAUUAUUAAUAGUUAUCUACAUAUGAAUAGAAACUCAGUCAGACUUGUCUGAAAGAACACUUCAAGGACUGCUGCUUAAUGGUACAUCUGAGGAACAGUGCACAUUCAAUACCUGUGUAACACCCUUGUUAAGGAAAACUGACUGUAGGUCUAAUGGACCAAUCAUAAUGAAAGUUUUUCCAAAUUCAGAGACUUUUCACAGGUCUUCAAUUCCUGUAGUCACAGGUACCAGGCUGUUGGGUGGCUGUUUCUUCAAGAUAUGAGCAAAAUACAGGAAAAUAUAUUGCAUUUGGUGACUCAAUUGCCAUUAACAGGACUCAGGACAAGCCUUGUGUCAGCUCUUACACAGCUGCCCGCCUGUCAGCUAACCCCUAGUCUCAAAAGCUGGUAAUAUCUCUGGUUGCAAAGAGGGACAUCUCUGCAGAAUGACAAAAAUCAGUAAUGACUGGAUCAGCACCACAAGCCUCCAGUGCCUACAGUUCUGACCCCUGUUAUUUUUCUGGAUUGAUUUAAUUGUUCCACUUUUCCAGGAUACUUCUGUAUCUGUUUUUUGGACAGGGCAGAGAGAAUUUGAUCUGUAUGCCUGUUCAGUCUACAGCAGGGCUACACAGAGAAGAAACAUUCUGGGUGAAAAAAAAAAAAAAAG